ACUAAAAAUGGUGAACGCCCAGGGAUCUUGUAUGAAGAUGAUGAAGGCGACAAGGAUUGGACAUACUACAAUCAAGUCUGCAAAUUUGCAUUAUUAAAAGUGAGGGAGACGGCAAGAAGGAUGCAGGCGGAGGUGGAGACGGACAUAAAAAUAGAGACAAAGACGGAAAACAGACGGAGGCGGUGAUAGAGACAGAAAUAGAGACGAAGAAGGAGCAACGUGAUAUCAGAGCCUUUCAAAAUGGCUUCUGAAAAUUUUGUUCAACCAGCCAUUCCACGUUUUGAUGGCCAUUAUGAUCAUUGGAGCAUGCUGAUGGAGAAUUUGUUGCAGUCUAAAGAGUACUGGCAUGUUGUUGAAACUAGUGUAGCAACACCUACGGCUGGAGCAGAAUUCACAAACACUCAACACAAGGAGUUGGAGGGACUGAAGUUGAAAGAUCUGAAGGCGAAAAAGAAAGUUCCAAGGAUAUUUGGGAUUCAAUGAAGAAGAAAUAUCAAGGCUCUUCUAAAACGAAGCAUGCACAACUUCAGGCCUUGAGAAAGGAAUUUGAGGUUCUACAGAUGAAGAAUAGUGAAUUUGUAACCAGCUAUUUUGUAAAGAUCAUGACUAUUAA